rnacentral:rRNA from 1 species
UACGAAGGGGGCUAGCGUUGUUCGGAAUCACUGGGCGUAAAGCGCACGUAGGCGGAUCGUUAAGUCAGGGGUGAAAUCCUGGAGCUCAACUCCAGAACUGCCUUUGAUACUGGCGAUCUUGAGUUCGAGAGAGGUGAGUGGAACUGCGAGUGUAGAGGUGAAAUUCGUAGAUAUUCGCAAGAACACCAGUGGCGAAGGCGGCUCACUGGCCCGAUACUGACGCUGAGGCACGAAAGCGUGGGGAGCAAACAGG